AGGGAAUAUUGCGCAAUGGGCGAAAGCCUGACGCAGCGACACCGUGUGAAGGAUGAAGAUUUUCGGAUUGUAAACUUCUGUCAAUUGGGGACGAAGGUAGUAGAGUUAAUAGCUUUUACUAUUGACGGUACCCAAUAAGGAAGUCUCGGCUUACUCCGUGCCAGCAGCCGCGGUAAGACGGGGGAGGCAAGCGUUGUCCGGAAUUAUUGGGCGUAAAGAGCGCGUAGGUGGUUUGUAAAGUCAUUUGUGAAAACUUUAGGCUUAACUUAAAGACUGCAAGUGAUACUUAUAAACUUGAGUACAGUAGAGGAAAGUGGAAUUCCUGGUGUAGCGGUGAAAUGCGCAGAUAUCAGGAAGAACACCAGUGGCGAAGGCGGCUUUCUGGGCUGUUACUGACACUGAGGCGCGAAAGCUAGGGGAGCGAAC
rnacentral:rRNA from 1 species